GAUGAACGCUGGCGGCGUGCCUAACACAUGCAAGUCGAGCGAGAAGUAAAGAAAUGAAGCUUCGGUAGAUUUUCAUUAUGGAAAGCGGCGGACGGGUGAGUAACGCGUAGGCAACCUGCCCUGUACAGGGGGAUAGCCACCCGAAAAGGUGAUUAAUACCCCAUGAUGCAAGAGAUACACAUGUAUCACUUGUCAAAGAUUUAUCGGUAUGGGAUGGGCCUGCGUCUGAUUAGCUAGUUGGUAGGGUAACGGCUUACCAAGGCAACGAUCAGUAGCCGACCUGAGAGGGUGAUCGGCCACAUUGGAACUGAGACACGGUCCAAACUCCUACGGGAGGCAGCAGUGGGGAAUAUUGCACAAUGGGCGAAAGCCUGAUGCAGCAACGCCGCGUGAACGAUGAAGGUCUUCGGAUCGUAAAGUUCUGUUGCAGGGGAAGAUAAUGACGGUACCCUGUGAGGAAGCCCCGGCUAACUACGUGCCAGCAGCCGCGGUAAUACGUAGGGGGCUAGCGUUAUCCGGAUUUACUGGGCGUAAAGGGUGCGUAGGUGGUCCUUCAAGUCGGUGGUUAAAGGCUACGGCUCAACCGUAGUAAGCCGCCGAAACUGGAGGACUUGAGUGCAGGAGAGGAAAGUGGAAUUCCCAGUGUAGCGGUGAAAUGCGUAGAUAUUGGGAGGAACACCAGUAGCGAAGGCGGCUUUCUGGACUGCAACUGACACUGAGGCACGAAAGCGUGGGUAGCAAACAGG
rnacentral:rRNA from 1 species